rnacentral:rRNA from 1 species
GACGAACGCUGGCGGCGUGCUUAACACAUGCAAGUCGAACGGAAAGGCCCUGCUUUUGUGGGGUUCUCGAGUGGCGAACGGGUGAGUAACACGUGAGUAACCUGCCCUUGACUUUGGGAUAACUUCAGGAAACUGGGGCUAAUACCGGAUAGGAGCUCCUGCUGCAUGGUGGGGGUUGGAAAGUUUCGGCGGUUGGGGAUGGACUCGCGGCUUAUCAGCUUGUUGGUGGGGUAGUGGCUUACCAAGGCUUUGACGGGUAGCCGGCCUGAGAGGGUGACCGGCCACAAUGGGACUGCGAUACGGCCCAGACUGCUACGGGAGGCAGCAGUGGGGAAUAUUGCGCAAUGGGCGGAAGUCUGAGGCAGCAACGCCGCGUUCGGGAUGAUGGCCUUCGGGUUGUAAACCGCUUUCUCCUGUGACGAAGCGUGAGUGACGGUAAUGGGUAAAGAAGCACCGGCUAACUACGUG